AUUUAUAAUAAUCCAGUUUAGGCAACACAUAAUUGGCAUUGCAAAAACACUUGAUAUUGAGUAACCAUGAGUCUAGGCAAUAUUGUAGCCAUUUUUCACGUCAGCACAGUCACAGUCAGCAUCAUUUUCCCACUGUUUUGGCUGCCCGUAUUACCUUCCCGUAUUUUUUCGGUCCCGAAAUUCAGCCGAGCUGCAUUGUGGCAUGAAUUUGAUUUUGUAAUUUUUCCACCCUGCGCAAGUCUAGAAAUUACUGAAGCCUAUAUUGUUCUUUGAGGAACUGAGUGAGUGCUCUCUCUGUUUCCUAAACCAAACCUAAUAUAGUCUUAUUUCAGUCUGCAUUUCAAAUAACCUAGAUAAUCAAUAUAAAAAAUAAU